UACGGGGGGGGGCAAGCGUUGUCCGGAAUCAUUGGGCGUAAAGAGCGUGUAGGCGGUCCGUUAAGUCGGCUGUGAAAGUCCAAGGCUCAACCUUGGGAUGCCGGUCGAUACUGCCGGACUAGAGUUCGGAAGAGGCGAGUGGAAUUCCCGGUGUAGCGGUGAAAUGCGCAGAUAUCGGGAGGAACACCUAUGGCGAAGGCAGCUCGCUGGGACGUUACUGACGCUGGAGACGCGAAAGCGUGGGGAGCAAACAGG
rnacentral:rRNA from 1 species